rnacentral:rRNA from 1 species
GUCGAGCGGAUGAAAGGAGCUUGCUCCUGGAUUCAGCGGCGGACGGGUGAGUAAUGCCUAGGAAUCUGCCUGGUAGUGGGGGACAACGUUUCGAAAGGAACGCUAAUACCGCAUACGUCCUACGGGAGAAAGCAGGGGACCUUCGGGCCUUGCGCUAUCAGAUGAGCCUAGGUCGGAUUAGCUAGUUGGUGAGGUAAUGGCUCACCAAGGCGACGAUCCGUAACUGGUCUGAGAGGAUGAUCAGUCACACUGGAACUGAGACACGGUCCAGACUCCUACGGGAGGCAGCAGUGGGGAAUAUUGGACAAUGGGCGAAAGCCUGAUCCAGCCAUGCCGCGUGUGUGAAGAAGGUCUUCGGAUUGUAAAGCACUUUAAGUUGGGAGGAAGGGUUGUAGAUUAAUACUCUGCAAUUUUGACGUUACCGACAGAAUAAGCACCGGCUAACUCUGUGCCAGCAGCCGCGGUAAUACAGAGGGUGCAAGCGUUAAUCGGAAUUACUGGGCGUAAAGCGCGCGUAGGUGGUUCGUUAAGUUGGAUGUGAAAUCCCCGGGCUCAACCUGGGAACUGCAUUCAAAACUGUCGAGCUAGAGUAUGGUAGAGGGUGGUGGAAUUUCCUGUGUAGCGGUGAAAUGCGUAGAUAUAGGAAGGAACACCAGUGGCGAAGGCGACCACCUGGACUGAUACUGACACUGA